UACGGAGGAUGCAAGCGUUAUCCGGAAUGAUUGGGCGUAAAGCGUCCGCAGGUGGCUGUGUAAGUCUGCUGUUAAAGAGUCAUGCUCAACAUGAUAAGAGCAGUGGAAACUACACGGCUAGAGUGCGUUCGGGGCAGAGGAAAUUCCUGGUGUAGCGGUGAAAUGCGUAGAGAUCAGGAAGAACACCGGUGGCGAAAGCGCUCUGCUAGGCCGCAACUGACACUGAGGGACGAAAGCUAGGGGAGCGAAUGGG
rnacentral:rRNA from 1 species